CUUGGCCGUGAUGGUGAAGCUUGGAAUCAAGCUUGACAUGCAGAGCCAAUAAAAGCCCCUUGGGGAGAACUGGCCUCAUACCUUGUCUACACAGUCCCUGCACAGGGUUCCUAACCUGUGGUUAGUAAAGAAUGUCACUUUCUAACAGGUCUGGAAGCUCCGAGUUUAUCUUGGGAACUCAAGAGGAGAGGAUCACCCAGUUCACAGGUAUUUGAGGAUACAAACCCAUUGCUGGGCUCGGCUUUAAAAGUCUUAUCUGAAAUUCCUUGUGAAACAGAGUUUCAUCAAAGCCAAUCCAAAAGGCCUAUGUAAAAAUAACCAUUCUUGCUGCACUUUAUGCAAAUAAUCAGGCCAAAUAUAAGACUACAGUUUAUUUACAAUUUGUUUUUACCAAAAAUGAGGACUAGAGAGAAAAAUGGUGCUCCAAAGCUUAUCAUACAUUUGUCAUUAAGUCCUAGUCUCAUUAAUUGUUUUCAAGCUUUUCGCCUACAUUUUAGACUAACCCUGCUUAUUCCUGUGAAUCAAGUAGUGGUCUCCUGCAGCUUGGAAGAAAAAAUAAGGGAUGGGUAAUGUAAAAAUCUGGAUCAAUAUACUGGUUCUGGGCAAUUAUCCUGCAAAUUCUGCCAGGUAAUAAAAGUGAGUAGGGUGCCCAUAAUCCGGAAGUUUCUUUGUUUAGGAAAAUAAAAACAAGGAACUUCAUAGACCCCCCCCAAAGGGGAAUUCUAUAUCUUGACAAGUAAAAUUUUAGAUGGAAAUUAUCUACAACACCACACUUACGGAAAUUGCUAUCCUCACUCUAUUAUUUGCAAAAGGGUUAUACACAGUAGCACCUUCUAACUGAAGUAUUAAACAGAGUUUCCAUUGCUGUCGUAUUUUGCUUAAUUAUUAUCCUUAUAGCAGGGAUAAUAGUUACUAACAAAAAGGAAGCAUGAAAGUUUUACUAUCACUGAGCCUGGUAGGACUUUUUAUUGGGUUUAGUGAUGCAGUUUUAAAUGAAACAUGCCGCUUUUGGAUUAAUACCUCUAGUAAAGGAAAAUUUACAGAUACUUAAAAAUCAAAUCAAAAUUAUUGAUAGGCUCAGGAAAAAUGCCAGCUUCAGCCCUGAGUGGCUACAAACCCUCUUUAAUAAAUUCCAGUCUUCUUUAUGGAAUUGGUUAACGCCUUUAUUAAGCCCUCUCUUGCUUAUAUGUCUUGUAUUGAUAUUUGGACUCUGUAUAUACAAUACUAUAACUCGAAUUGUUUCUUCUCGCCUAGAAGCAAUCAAACUCCAAAUGGUGCUGUAAACUGAACCACACAUGGACAGGCCAUUCUUCCGAGGACCCUUAGAUUGAUCCCAGGGGGAGCCCUAGCUGCUAUUCCCCAUUCAACGCCCCUUUUCAGCAGGAAGUAGCCAGAAGGAGUCGCCGCCCAAAAUCCCCUAACAGCAGUUAGUGUGGCAUCUCCACAGGAAGUAAUGUUGUAGGAGUUACUAAGAAAUUAUUUUAGGCAGAUAGAGAGGAAAAGGGGUCCUUGGGAAGUUUUCAUUUUUUAAAGCAUCUCUGGAAAAGUUUCUUGUAAAGCCCCGGCUCUUAGAGCCAGGCUGGCAACCUUUGAUAUGCAAAUGUAAGCCAUUAGAAACCAGGUCCACCCAGGCCAGGUGUGGUGGCUCACGCCUGUAAUCCCAACACUUUGGGAAGCCUAGGCAGGUGGAUCACCUGAGGUCAGGAGUUCGAGACCAGCCUGGCCAACAUGGUGAAACCCCGCCUCUAAUAAAAACACAAAAAACUAGCCAGGUGUGCUGCUGUGUGUCUGUAAUUCCAGCUACUUGGGAGGCUGAGGCAGGAGAACUGCUUGAACCCAGGAGGCAGAGGUUGCAGUGAGCUGAGAUUGCAUCAUUGCACUCCAGCCUGGGCGACAGCAAGACUCUGUAAAAAAAAAAAAAAAAAAAAAAAAAAACAGCCAGGCGUGGUAGCACGCCUGUAGUCCCAGCUACUUGGGAGGCUGAGAUGGGAGGAUCACCCUCGACUGGGGAAGUUGAGGCUGCAGUGAGCUGAAAUCGCACCACUGCACUCCAGCCUGGGUGACAGACUGAGACCCUGUCAAAUAAAUAAUGUAUGUAUGUAUAUAUGUAUGUAUGUAUGUUAACCUCAUCCCAAAACAUCCUCACAGAACAUCCAGAAUAAUGUUUGACCAAAUAUCUGGGCACCAAUGGCACAUUCAAGUUGACACAUAAAAUUAACCCUCACAAUACCGUACUGUACAACUUUUGGAGUGAAGCUGGAAUGUCAUCGCAUUUCCAAGACUAACUCAGUGUCCACAAAUGAUGCUUAAGUCAUGAGGAUCAUCUCGGAUUUGGAUUUGGAUGCCUGUCAAGCCCUCACUCUUCAGACUAAAUGUCUGAUUUGCAUGGAGAAUUAUCAAGAGAAGCAACAAUGCCAAGCAGACUAUUCCAGGUCAAAAUAGUCAAAUUAAUAAUUCAUAAAUUAUUAUAUGUUUUGAAGGUAUUGCAAAAUUAAAGUUGCAAGAACAGUACAGAUAACUUUUUUCCUGAACCAUUUGAGAGUAGGUUGCAGACCUGGUGCCCCAUCAUUUCUGAAUAUUUUAGUGUGCAUUUUCUACAAACAAGGACAUUUUCCAGCAUAACCACAAUGCACCCAUCAAUGUCGUGAAAUUAAUGUUGGUACAUUACUACCACCUAGUCCUCAGACCCUAUUCAAAUUAUACCAGUUAUCAUAAUAGUUUCUUAUAAUUUAUAGCAAAAUGAUCCAAACCAGGAGCAUGCAUUGCAUUUUUAUGAAUUUUUAAAACAAUUAAGUCUGUGUAGUGAGUGAAGCCACAGUGAUAGGAAUAUAUAAAGGCUUUGCAUCUAGAAUUUGUUCUGAAAACCCUGAGAUUCAAGUAGUACAUUAUUUCAUUUACUAUUUUACACAGAGAAGCCCUCAUUUUUAAGAGUUUGCCUUUCUGAUUUCCACCGGAAAUGAUACUAUCAGUAUCAUACUCAGAAUCUUAAUUACAUACAAGGCACUAACCUCUCACCUGUUUUCAGCUUUGUGUAAAGACAAGGGAUCAAAACAUCCCUUUCUGCUAUUUCAUACUUAAGUGUGGGAGCUGAUCCAAAGGAAGAAUAGUUUCAAAAGUUUGUAGCAAAAAAAAUUUAAAAGGUGAAGAUUUUUUCCUUGAAUGAUUCUCACCUGGCAGAUCUAUGGAAAGAUUAGCUGACUCUUUGGAUCCCUGAAUAUAGUUAAUAGAAAUUUGGAAGGACCAUGUCAAAAUUAACUAAUGUGAACUGACAAAGAUUUGGUGUUCAAAGCAAAAAUUAAACUUUGGAAAAGUGAGCAAGUACUUAAUCAGAAACAAAAAAAAAAAAAAGAAAGGAAAAGUUAGGUGAAAAUGGUUUCCAGGUGUUGUUGCUGUUAUAGUUUGAAUCAUAAAAGUUGUUAAAAGUCUGCUGUAACAAACCAUCAUAGACUGGGUGACUUAUAAAGAACAAAAAUGUAUUUCUCACAGUUCCAGAGGCUGGGAAGUCUAAGAUCAAGGCAUCAGCAGAUUCAGUGUCUGGUGAGGGCCCACUUUCUGGUUCAUAGAUGGCACCUUCUCACUGUCUCCCCACGUGAUGGAAGGGGCAAGAGGUCUCUCUUGGUACUCUUUUAUUAAGGGCACUAAUCCCAUCCAUGGGGCUCCACCUUCAUGACCUAUUCAUCUCCCAGAGGCCCUACCUGCAGAUACCAUCGUAUGGGGGAUUUGAUUUCAGCCUGUGAAUUUGGGGGAAGCGGGACAAACAUUCGUUUUGUAGCAAAAGGAGUAGAGUAAUAUCUGCCAAUAACUGGAGGAAAGAAUUGUUCUUUUAAAACUAUUAAAUUGUUUAAUGGGAUUUAAAUGAUUUCAGGAAUGAAAUGGAAAUCCUGGUAAUGGGUAGAAACAUAGGUAAAUUCUCCUUUUCCACUUACCACCACCUGUGUGAACAACAAUCAUUUCUCAUUAAUAGUCAAGAAUUUGAAGAGAUCAUGAGUAAAAAGUCUUGAUCAGAAAUUGUGUAUAGCUGUUUCCAGCAUAAAACCUUAUAUAAAAUGCAUAUUCAUAGAAGAUGCUCAAGUAUGUCAUGAAAAAUAUGAAGUUUAUUUAAAUAUUUAUACAAAUUAAAGAUUUACUGUAUUCUCUAACAGCGCGUAUUUUCUUUUUUGUAAUAACUAUAUGAAAUAAAUACAAAGUAACACGUUUUUACCAAGCCCCCUUCCCAUCCUUCUCAUCACCCUCAAACUCCCUCCAAAUAGAGUCAGAGAAACAGCCAGAGGGAUGUCUCCACUGAGACACAGGGAGGUCUUGCACCCAGGCAGUUCAGCAGUUCCUGGGCGGGUGGCCCUUCCCAUCUGAGUACCCCUCAAUGUGCCUGCUCCUCCUGGGAUCCUUUCUGCUCCCUUGGGCCUCUGUUUUUGGUCUGCAAUGGUUGGUUAUGUAGAGGGAUCAGUAUUGGGGUUGUCCCAAGCCAGGCUACAGGUUGAGCAGGUAGCCACAUAGGCCACAUAGCAGGACGGGCCCAGCUGGGGACUCUGAUGUCUGCAAUUAGGGGUGGCAGGAAGUAAUGGAUGCACAGGCGCUGACUUGGCCUGGCCUUAAGCCUUAGUCUAGCGGAAAGGUCUGGCUGUUUACCUGCCUUCCUAUUUGGAGCUGAUCCCAGGACCAAACGGGAUGCCAUCGUACCAAGGGCAGGGAGAUGAAGGGAGGCCCUCAGAAGAGAAUGAGGCCUAAAUGCCAGGUAAAGGGCAGGAAGGGGUUCAAUCCCAGCAGCACCUCCUGGUGGUAGUUGGGGAAAUAAAAUGGCCAGAGAGGAGACUGGCCCUGAAGGCAUCUCCAGAGCUUGAGUCCCUCAGUAGCCAACCUGAGCUCCUAAACCCCUCUGGACUAGGUCCCCUUCUCCACUUAACCUGCCUCCUCAAGAAAG
rnacentral:lncRNA from 1 species